AUUGAACGCUGGCGGCAGGCCUAACACAUGCAAGUCGAACGAGUGGCGGACGGGUGAGUAAUGUCUGGGAAACUGCCUUAUGGAGGGGGAUAACUACUGGAAACGGUAGCUAAUACCGCAUACCAUCAGAUGUGCCCAGAUGGGAUUAGCUAGUUGGUGGGGUAACGGCUCCCCAAGGCGACGAUCCCUAGCUGGUCUGAGAGGAUGACCAGCCAAACUGGGAAUGAGACACGGUCCGGACUCCUACGGGAGGCAGCAGUGGGGAAUAUUGCACAAUGGGCGCAAGCAUGAUGCAGCCAUGCCGCGGGUAUGAAGAAGGCCUUCGGGUUGUAAAGUACUGUCAGCGGGGAGGCGUUACCCGAAGAAGAAGCACCGGCUAACUCCGUGCCAGCCGCCGCGGUAAUUC
rnacentral:rRNA from 1 species